AAAGGGAGACCUAAUUCGGGUAUAAGACGAAAAAAUAGUAGUCGAAACCAAGAAUCAAUCCCAAAAGGUCGGAACGAGGUAUGUGGCUUUCAAACUAGGUUCUGGGUUCAUAAAAGACCUGAAUCAGGAACAAGGGCUAUUAGCUCAGGUGGUUAGAGCGCACCCCUGAUAAGGGUGAGGUCCCUGGUUCGAGUCCAGGAUGGCCCACCUGCACAGGUGGCAAAAACAAGAGAAGCGAGGAAUCAGCACCUUAUCCUAAUUUAUAUAUAGGAGAGAAUGCUGGCUCUGAGUAAAGAGUCCAGAGGAACCUUGAAGACUGCAUAGAGCUAGGUGAAAAAGCCAAAAAAGAAGACCGCAAG
rnacentral:tRNA from 1 species